rnacentral:rRNA from 1 species
UGCAAGUCGAACGGUAACAGGAUGUGCUUGCACAUCGCUGACGAGUGGCGGACGGGUGAGUAAUGCUUGGGAACUUGCCUUUGCGAGGGGGAUAACAGUUGGAAACGACUGCUAAUACCGCAUAAUGUCUUCGGACCAAACGGGGCUUAGGCUCCGGCGCAAAGAGAGGCCCAAGUGAGAUUAGCUAGUUGGUAAGGUAACGGCUACCAAGGCGACGAUCUCUAGCUGUUCUGAGAGGGAGAUCAGCCACACUGGGACUGAGACACGGCCCAGACUCCUACGGGAGGCAGCAGUGGGGAAUAUUGCACAAUGGGGGAAACCCUGAUGCAGCCAUGCCGCGUGUGUGAAGAGGGCCUUCGGGUUGUAAAGCACUUUCAGUUGUGAGGAAAAGUUAGUAGUUAAUACCUGCUAGCCGUGACGUUAACAACAGAAGAAGCACCGGCUAACUCCGUGCCAGCAGCCGCGGUAAUACGGAGGGUGCGAGCGUUAAUCGGAAUUACUGGGCGUAAAGCGCACGCAGGCGGUUUGUUAAGCUAGAUGUGAAAGCCCCGGGCUCAACCUGGGAUGGUCAUUUAGAACUGGCAGACUAGAGUCUUGGAGAGGGGAGUGGAAUUCC